UACGUAGGGUCCGAGCGUUGUCCGGAAUUACUGGGCGUAAAGAGCUCGUAGGUGGUUUGUCGCGUUGUUCGUGAAAACUCACAGCUUAACUGUGGGCGUGCGGGCGAUACGGGCAGACUGGAGUACUGCAGGGGAGACUGGAACUUCCUGGUGUAGCGGUGGAAUGCGCAGAGUAUCGAGGAGGAACACCGGUGGCGAAGGCGGGUCUCUGGGCAGUAACUGACGCUGGAGGAGCGAAAGCGUGGGGAGCGAACAGG
rnacentral:rRNA from 1 species